GUGGCUUAAUUUGACUCAACGCGGGAAAUCUUACCGGGUCCGGACACACUGAGGAUUGACAGGUAUUAUAUAGCGCGCUUGCGCGUCUAUUGUUAAAUAUGCUAGUCCUUUCAUGAUUAUGUGAUAGGUGGUGCAUGGCCGUUCUUAGUUCGUGGAGUGAUCUGUCUGCUUAAUUGCGUUUCAGAUAAGGAUCUAUAUUCUUUACAGAAGUGUUGCGUUGUGCAUUUGACCCCUCGUUCGCGAGUGCGUGUCUUUUCGCGCUCGCACGCUUUUUACAUUAGGUCCUGAAAGCAACGAACGUGACCGCAACCUCUUGUUGCCUCAUCUCCCUACUUUUUUAGCACUUCGGUGUUGAAUAAUUUCAUUGAGGCUUUCCAAAACUAGAGGGACCGCUGUCAACUUCUUAAACCAGAGGAAGGUUGCGGCAAUAACAGGU
rnacentral:rRNA from 1 species